rnacentral:rRNA from 1 species
UACGUAGGGUGCGAGCGUUAAUCGGAAUUACUGGGCGUAAAGCGUGCGCAGGCGGUUUUGUAAGCCAGAUGUGAAAUCCCCGGGCUCAACCUGGGAAUGGCAUUUGGGACUGCAAGGCUGGAGUACGGCAGAGGAGACUGGAAUUCCUGGUGUAGCAGUGAAAUGCGUAGAUAUCAGGAAGAAUACCGAUGGCGAAGGCAGGUCUCUGGGCUGAUACUGACGCUCAUGCACGAAAGCGUGGGGAGCAAACAGG